UGUUGCUUGCUCAUAUACUAGAGUCCAGCUCAGGCUCUGAGUUCCACCAAUGAUGCUUGAUGCCACUGUCAGCUGAUCCAUCAGGCACUUCGAUCUGCAACGAUGCAGGGACCAUGUAAUAUUGUUUCUAGAGUAUUAAGUCAUGAAUGAAUCAAUACUGUUUCUUCGAGUAUGGCUUUAUUAAUCUCCUCUGGAGAUACGUUGUUAGGAGUAGAUGUUGGUUCUGCUUACUGUGUGACAUUAACAGUUGUAACAUUUAUGGCACCCUCAUUUCCAUCAGUUGCGUGCACUAGAACUUAGAAAAAACUGUUUACAUGGUA
rnacentral:lncRNA from 1 species